GUAGUUAGCCGUGGCUUUCUGGUUAGGUACCGUCAAGGCACGAUCAGUUACUAUCGUACUUGUUCUUCCCUAACAACAGAACUUUACGACCCGAAGGCCUUCUUCCCUCACGCGGCGUUGCUGGGUCAGGCUUGCGCCCAUUGCCCAAUAUUCCCCACUGCUGCCUCCCGUAGGAGUCUGGACCGUGUCUCAGUUCCAGUGUGGCCGAUCAGCCUCUCAGCUCGGCUACCCAUCGCAGGCUUGGUGGGCUGUUAUCUCACCAACUACCUAAUGGGACGCGAACCCCUCCCUCAGCGGAUUGCUCCUUUGACCUCAUCCCGAUGCCGGGUCGUGGUCUUAUGCGGUAUUAGCACUUGUUUCCAGGUGUUAUCCCCCUCUGAAGGUCAGGUUGUUCACGCGUUACUCACCCGUUCGCCACUAAAAUUUAUCUUCCAUCCGAAAACUUCUGAUAAAUCUCCGUUCGACUUGCAUGUGUUAGGCACGCCGCCAGCGUUCGUCCUGAGCCAGGAUCAAACUCUGA
rnacentral:rRNA from 1 species